rnacentral:rRNA from 1 species
UACGAAGGGGGCUAGCGUUGUUCGGAAUUACUGGGCGUAAAGCGCGUGUAGGCGGCUUUGCAAGUCGGGCGUGAAAUCCCAUGGCUCAACCAUGGAAGUGCACUCGAAACUGCAGAGCUAGAGUCCUGGAGAGGAAGGUGGAAUGCUUGGUGUAGAGGUGAAAUUCGUAGAUAUCAAGCGGAACACCGGUGGCGAAGGCGGCCUUCUGGACAGUGACUGACGCUGAGACGCGAAAGCGUGGGGAGCAAACAGG